GAUGAACGCUGGCGGCGUGCCUAAUACAUGCAAGUCGAGCGAACGGACGAGAAGCUUGCUUUUCUGAUGUUAGCGGCGGACGGGUGAGUAACACGUGGAUAACCUACCUAUAAGACUGGGAUAACUUCGGGAAACCGGAGCUAAUACCGGAUAAUAUUUUGAACCGCAUGGUUCAAAAGUGAAAGACGGUCUUGCUGUCACUUAUAGAUGGAUCCGCGCUGCAUUAGCUAGUUGGUAAGGUAACGGCUUACCAAGGCAACGAUGCAUAGCCGACCUGAGAGGGUGAUCGGCCACACUGGAACGGAGACACGGUCCAGACUACUACGGGAGGCAGCAGUAGGGAAUCUUCCGCAAUGGGCGAAAGCCUGACGGAGCAACGCCGCGUGAGUGAUGAAGGUCUUCGGAUCGUAAAACUCUGUUAUUAGGGAAGAACAUAUGUGUAAGUAACUGUGCACAUCUUGACGGUACCUAAUCAGAAAGCCACGGCUAACUACGUG
rnacentral:rRNA from 1 species